GCAGAACUGAACCCAAGCUGCAGCCUGGAGCCUGGAGCCAGGAGCUGGGAGAUGAGUCCAGCCUCACGCAGCAGAGGAGCUGUGCUGCUGACCCACUUACCCAUGACUGAGAGAGAACCACUGUGGUUGGUCUGGUCUCCGGACCAGUUCUUCACACAAAAUGAUAAUCCUCUGAUAACAUAAUCAUCACCAAGGAAACCGGAGACGAUGUCACAAACAGGAUUAUGACUUCAAGGACCCAGAUUUGCAUCUUUCACCCACUAAAGCUCCCAGCGUGCACCUCUGUGGGCCCCACUCCACAGCAUCAUGGGGUGGACACUGAGGCUUAAGAAGUUUCCACGAAGCUCCAGAUUGCUCAGCUGGAAGCAGCGGGGUAACGGCACAGACACACACCUCCCAACCCAAGCACUGUGCCCUGGCCAGAGCGUCAGCUGACCCCGAAGGACAGCGCCGCUGGGUGGGGCCAGGACUGACCAACCAUCCUGGAAGGCUCGUGAGCUGAGAGAAAGAGGGAACAGGGGAGAUCACUUCCUUCUAUCCAUCCCCCUGGUUGCACUUAAACUCUCUUAUGCCCCCCUUGUCCUCUUUUUCUUCUCCUUGGAACCACAGCCACACGGACCGGGGGGCUGGCAGCAGUGGGAGGCUGUGUCACCGCCGCUCACAGCAACAGCUGGGGACGAAUUCCCUCGGCUCCACGCGGAAGUCAAGGACUAUAAUUGGGUGUGCUUCAAAACAGUAAUCCCCACAGCUUUCAAACAGCACAAUAAAAAUAAAUUAA